rnacentral:rRNA from 1 species
AUGUGGGACAGCCAACGUCAGAUGAGGGACGCCAGCGCGGAUGGAGCCUCCCGAUGUCACAGAGUCGCCGCCCCGCCGCCACUCCUGCAAACUCCUCCGCAGGCCGCGUUUCCGCCGAGAUUCUGGCGAGUUUUGUGGAGGAAGAGAGAUGCUCUUAGGGGCCCAAGAUUUCAUGUUGAUAGAAAAGGUAAGGUUCACAAUGAUGUCCACAUGGUUCUGAUGGAUCAGCCGAGGGCCGCCCUCAAAAUGCCGAGGUGGUUGGAUAAAUCUUUCAUAAAUAAACAUAGAUUGGGUAAUGAUGAAUGGUGGCACAUGAGCACAAACCAUCUUAGGGGCCCAGGAUUUCAUGUUGAUAGAAAAGAUAAGGUUCACAAUGCUGGCCACAUGGUUCCGUUGGAUCAGCCGGAGGCCGCCUAUGGAUUGCUUAGGAGAUUCACACAAGGGAAAAACAAGGAGGCGGUUCCGAAAGAGGAGCCAUCGAAGACGUUCUACGCCGCGAUGUGA